rnacentral:tRNA from 1 species
GGGCCUGUAGCUCAGCUGGUUAGAGCGUCCGCCUGAUAAGCGGGAGGUCAGUGGUUCAAAUCCACUCAGGCCCACCA